CAGUCGCCGCGGUAAUACGAAGGGGGCUAGCGUUGCUCGGAAUUACUGGGCGUAAAGGGAGCGUAGGCGGAUGUUUAAGUCAGAGGUGAAAGCCCAGGGCUCAACCUUGGAACUGCCUUUGAUACUGGACAUCUUGAGUGUGGGAGAGGUAAGCGGAACUCCGAGUGUAGAGGUGAAAUUCGUAGAUAUUCGGAAGAACACCAGUGGCGAAGGCGGCUUACUGGCCCAUUACUGACGCUGAGGCUCGAAAGCGUGGGGAGCAAACAGGAUUAGAUACCCCCGUAGUCCCUGUCUCUUAUAC
rnacentral:rRNA from 1 species